GUUCAAAACAUCGAAUUUGACCGACACUGAACAGAGAUAAAACCCAGAUGUAUACAUGGCCUGGAUUUCCAUAUUAUGCUGCCCAGAAUAAAAGACGAUGCAGUCCAGAUAAAAACAUUGUAUGGCUCAAUAAUCUUUACCAAACUUGAUGCAUCAGAUGAAGUCUUUGACUUUCUAGAAAGGGAUUUUGUAAGCUAGUACUGGACAUGAAGACAGUCACUUGGAAAUGAUGAUUGUGCAACAGCGGUUAAACAUAUGCAAUACAUCAUAUGGUGACCAGACAGGGAGGAAACUAGGGAAAUGGUUAUCCACCAACAGCCCAAGUGCUUGGUUGAUAAGAGGAGCCACAGCAUUAAACAUUACUGCACAAAGUGGUGUGCUUUGCUAACACUUAUGAUUGUGAUUUGAUAAAAAAGCAAUGAAUGAACGCUCAUUAUUCAUAACUAUAACUAAAACAUUGAUGUCAAAAGUUGUCAAUUUUCAACAUAUAUAGUAUUUGAGAUCCUGAUCUAUAGUUGUGUGCAAUGGAUUAUCAAACAAAAACAAAAGAGUGGGCAACAAAAUGAAUAGCAUAAUGCACCAGUCAAUUGUAACCACAUCCCGCCCCCAGGUCCGGGGACUUUUGACUUUUGGUCCAGCCUACCCCAGGUUAAAUUCCCUGAACUGAUCCUGAACUAAAAUCCCUGCCAAAUUCCCCCCGCAUCCAACAUACCAUAGGUAAGACAAAACCACCGCAUUCACACCCAGUAUACCCCCAGACGGGGGUGGUGGUGGUUACAAUUGACAUGUGCAUUACCCACUACCCAUUUACACCAGUAAUUCAUAAUUAUAUUUGAUAGACAUGCCUCUUGUCAAAGGUUUUGAAGGGUAUGAACGUCAGAACUACCUGCCUAUGGCCUUUCAAGAUUUUAUAACAUUGUUAAACUAAAGAAAUUAUUAUUAAGUUUAUACUAGAUCUUUGUUAAGAGUGACCCCUUUGAUAAUUCUGGAGAAAAACUAUUAGGAUUAGGUUCUGUAUUUGUCCAUAAUUUGUUAUAUGACAUGUAAGCAGGAGUUCAUUCCUUCAAAGAAUUGUGAAUCUUAUAUAAUUAUGUAUUUGACAUCUUAUGAAUUUUAUCACAUUUUAACCUAGAGGCAGUUCAAAUAAAUACUGCUAUGAUUGAACCAAUACUGAAUAAGGGCAAGAAUUCCAAACAAGACAGUAUACAUCUAGUAUCAUGUUUGUCUGAUAAUUUUGAAAUCAUAGUGAUUAAAUAUAAAAGGAUGUUAAAGCUGCACUGUCACUGAUUAAGAGUUUUCACAUUUGCUUUGAAAAAAAUAAUUAAAAUAGUCUGACUUUAGCAUGAAUGCCUUCAAUCCAGUCAUAUAAGAUAACUCUCAAUGAAACAGAAUUCAAUUGUCUGAAAAACUGCCAAAAUUUUCAUUUCUUCUCAAGCAUUACUAACCAUUAAACAUAG